GGUCACUGCUAUUGGGAUUCGGCUAAGCCAUGCAAGCGGAGGGCGCGGUCGAAAGAUCGUGGCCCCGCACACUGCUCAGUAACACGUAGUCAACCUACCCUUGGGACAGGGACAACCUCGGGAAACUGAGGCUAAUCCCCGAUAGGUGAGGGACGCUGGAAUGCCUCCUCGCCCAAAGCUCCGGCGCCCAAGGAUGGGACUGCGGUCUAUCAGGCUGUUGGUGGUGUAACGGACCACCAAACCUACGACGGGUACGGGCGAUGGGAGUCGGAGCCCGGAGAUGGGGACUGAGACAAGGCCCCAGGCCCUACGGGGCGCAGCAGGCGCGAAAACUCCGCAAUGCGCGCAAGCGUGACGGGGGAAUCCCAAGUGCCGUUGGUCUUAUGAUCGACGGUUUUUAGGAAGUCUAAGAAGCUUCCAGAAUAAGGGCUGGGCAAGACUGGUGCCAGCCGCCGCGGUAACACCAGCAGCCCAAGUGGUGACCACGAUUAUUGGGCCUAAAGCGCUCGUAGCCGGAUCAGCAAGUCCCUUGUGAAAUCGGGCCGCCUAACGGUUCGGCGUGCAAGGGAUACUGUUGGUCUUGAGGCCGGGAGAGGUCGGAGGUACUCCUGGGGUAGCGGUGAAAUGCUCUAAUCCUAGGGGGACCACCAGUGGCGAAGGCGUCCGACCAGAACGGACCUGACGGUGAGGGGCGAAGGCUAGGGGAGCGAACGGGAUUAGAUACCCCGGUAGUCCUAGCUGUAAAGCAUGCGGGCCAGGUGUCUAGCGCUCCUCGAGGGCGCUAGGUGCCGGAGGGAAGCCGUUAAGCCCGCCGCCUGGGAAGUACGGCCGCAAGGCUGAAACUUAAAGAAAUUGGCGGGGGAGCACCACAAGAGGUGGGACCUGCGGUUC
rnacentral:rRNA from 1 species